rnacentral:tRNA from 1 species
GAGAGUAUAGCUCAGUGGUAGAGCAUAUGCUUGCUACCACUAGUAUGGUAGCAUGUACAAGGUCCUGAGUUCAAUCCCCAGUACCUCCA